UACGGAGGGUGCAAGCGUUAUCCGGAUUCACUGGGUUUAAAGGGUGCGUAGGUGGGUUGGUAAGUCAGUGGUGAAAUCCCCGAGCUUAACUUGGGAACUGCCAUUGAUACUAUCAGUCUUGAAUACCGUGGAGGUCAGUGGAAUAUGUCAUGUAGCGGUGAAAUGCUUAGAUAUGACAUAGAACACCAAUUGCGAAGGCAGCUGGCUACACGAAUAUUGACACUGAGGCACGAAAGCGUGGGGAGCAAACAGG
rnacentral:rRNA from 1 species